GCGAACUCUUUUUCGAAUUAAUUUUCAGUGGACAAUCCCAAACUGAGCUGCGCAACCAUUUUGUGGUGAAACAAUGGGAAGAGCAAGACUGGGACUGAGUUUGAGGCCCAUGUCGUCGUCUCCGAUUCUCUCUCACCUCCCCUUCCUCUCUCCCCCUCGCCUAACUCUUGUUAAACCCCAAGUCCUUCCGUCCCGGCACCUCACCACCACUAGGCUUCUCUUCUUCCUCCCUAUAUCGCCUAGACCCCUCUCUCCGUCCUCUUCCUUUUCCUCUUCCACUGUGGUGCCCCGAAUCUCACUCUCUUCGAAGUGCUUCGAUGUCGAUCUCGAACCUUACCUCUCUUGCUCUAUGCCCAAUAAACGUCUCAGAGUCGCCGUCCUUCUCAGCGGCGGCGUCGAUAGUAGCGUCGCUCUUCGCCUCCUCCACGCCGCUGGCCACGAAUGCACUGCUUUCUACCUUAAAAUCUGGUUCCAAGAAGACUUCGAGAACUUUUGGUCAGAAUGCCCAUGGGAAGAAGAUUUGAAGUAUGCUCAAGCUGUUUGUAAUCAGGUUGAUAUCCCUUUGGAAGUUGUGCAUUUGACAGAUGAGUAUUGGAAGAAUGUGGUGUCUUACAUUAUUGAAGAGUAUCGAUGUGGUCGGACUCCUAACCCAGAUGUUCUUUGCAAUACAAGAAUAAAGUUCGGUGCAUUCAUGGACGCCAUCAGCAGUAUGCAGUUUGACUAUGUUGCUUCUGGACAUUAUGCGAAUAUUGUUCAUUCAUCUACCGAUCAAAUUGAUAGGCCUUCCGUUCUAGAAUUGUCAAAAGACAUGGUCAAGGAUCAAACGUACUUUCUUUCACAUCUCUCUCAGGCUCAGCUCAAGCGACUUAUAUUCCCACUCGGUUCUAUUCCAAAGGACAAGGUUCGAAAACUUGCCACAAAAUUUGAUCUGCCCAACAAAGAUAGAAAAGAUUCACAAGGAAUAUGCUUCCUUGGAAAGAUAAAGUUUAGUGAAUUUGUUGCUAGACACAUAGGGGAGAAGGAAGGAGUCAUAUUGGAAGCUGAGACCGGAGAUUUCCUCGGUAAACAUCGGGGUUUUUGGUUCUACACAAUUGGUCAACGUCAAGGUCUUCGUCUCCCUGGAGGACCCUGGUAUGUUGUUGAGAAGGAUGUUAAAAACAAUGUUGUGUUUGUGUCUAGAAAUUACUUCUCAAUUGACAAAAGAAGACGCAUAUUUCGUGUUGGCUCCUUAAAAUGGCUUGGUGGGUUGCUUCCAAACCAGUUACAUCAGCUCCAGUGCAAGGUGAGACAUGGUCCUGGUUUUUACAAUUGCAGUUUGAUGAUGGAACUUGGUCAAGAUGGUUGUGGAGACAUUGCAGUUGUCCAGUUAUCUGGUGAUGAUCAGGGGCUGGCAGCUGGGCAAUUUGCAGCCUUCUACGAUGGAAGAGUCUGCUUGGGCUCUGGCAUAAUUUUAGAGUCUUGGGAUGAUCAGGGUUUUCCUGUAUGCGCCAAGGCUCUUGAAAUUGCAGGAAUAAAAGAUAAAUCAAAGCUUGGGAAGCCAAUUAAGAUAAAAGAUAAACCAGAAACUCCUCUAGCAGUGUCCGAUCAAAAAGAUGGUCCAAACAUUUGUACAUUACAAAAUUCCCAUGUUGCUGCCAUUAAACAGAGAAGACACUCAUCUAAGGAAGAACCAAUCUCCAGAUUCCCUGUAAAUUGGCUGCAAAAGAUUCAAGAGAAGUGGAUGCGGAUCUUUUAGCUUCUGUGAUCUCAAGUGCAGGACCAUUGACCACAGCUUGGGAGAAAUCUCCCAGGUUACAGUAUGCAUUUAAUGGAAAUUCCUCUUCAAGUGCCAAGAAAUUAUCCCUUUUGCUCCACUUGGCGCUGCUAGUAUCCAGCUAGGAAAAUGAAGUGUGAGGAGAGCCGGGGACCCCACGGCUUGAUCUUGUGAUCUUUCAGCUGAGUAAAUGGACAGCCCACUUGCUUCCCCUCAUCUUGCUUGGUGUAAUGGCUGGCGGGUGAGCCCUCCAAAUCAUGUAGCUUAACCUAUUUUUCUGGCUUCAUUAUUUAGGGAAAAUGAUAGAUAUAUAAUUCUACAUGCAAAAGUACGUAAACGUCGCGUAAU